rnacentral:lncRNA from 1 species
UUGCUCCUGCGCAAAGGCCUCUGGUUGAAGCCGUUGGUGGGCAGUGCUGCUGCCUGUUCUUGGAGGACUCCUUUGGACCCCGAGGUUGUAAGCUCAAGCGGGUUGUUGUUUCAAAUGAAAAGUUCCUGGGUAUCACACACUUGGUAACACUUCUGCCUAAGAAAUUAAACUCUCAGCGCUCUGUGGACAUUCUCAUUGGCUAAUCUUCACUUGAACAUACAAUACCUAAAAUAAGAAAUCGGUCAGCUUUGAAUAUCUCGGACUUGUUGACAGAUCGUCUCCAUAUUUCAUUUCUAUGACAGUAUUUCUUGAGACAUCUUACUGGAGAAGUGGUGCCCAUGCCUAAGAGACUGAGGGGGCAGUAACACCAAUUGACUCUCCUUGCACCAUAUACUCAGCAGUGGAGGUAGGGGCUUGAGAAGCCCCUUGCCAUGGUCACUAGACGCCUACCAGGAGAACUGUCCAGAGUGAGGAAGUUCUCUAAAUUCCACAUAUAGUCUUCUCCAACAACAAAGGGUCAGGCUCUGGCCCUACUUCUCUGC